AGGGAAGGACCAUCAGUUGGGGCUGGGCCUAGGUAUGUCUGAGCUCAGACUGUCUUGCUGCGGCUGCUGUGGAGAAUGGGGUGAGAUUCCCAGGUCAUCGAGUUGUGUACCUAGGAGGAUUAUGGCUGCCUCUGCUGAGCCAUGCGGGUUGUCAGGGAAGUGGGGGAAAGUCGGCAGUCACAGGCUUCACCCAGCUCCCAUGCAAACAGAAGGGGGUGUCUCAUUCCUACGGUGCCCCAACAACAGCCGCCAGUCCUUUCCAGGCGGAGAGCUACACGGGCUUGGAAACCUGCCCCAGGCUACCCGCCUCCCAGCUGCUAAAGAAAAGGGCUUGGUUCUUCCCCUGCUGUGGAGUCUGCACAACGGAUUUGCGCUGAGUUCUGGCCAGGAGGCUUCUUAACCCGUUCAAAUUAUUACAAAGUUCAGCUAGAGAUUUCCUUCUCCUUGUGUAGUUUUACCCCUGCUCCUCUCCUGUUGGAUCCCUGAGGUGCCAGGCAGGAAUGGCCUGCUAGGGGACCCAGCGAGCUCCCAGGGCCUUUCUGCUGCUUUCUCUACCCGUGUAUUUCCCUCGGCUCUCCAGAUUGACUCAGCUCCAGCACAAUGGGAUUCGUCGCCAAGAUGAUGAAGGCUCCACAAACCCUAUGGUGUGAUGAAGAGUUAAAGGAACUGGAGUAGUUAACUAAGGAGAAGUGUGGGACAUUAUCACACAUUUGAAGGCCUGUCAAAGGUAAGCACUAUUAGAUUUGUCUCCAGAGUGUGGGACUUGGCCCAAAGACUGUAAGCACCAGAGAAACAAUUUUCAGCUCAGUUUAAGAAAGUGUUUCAAAUCGUAAUGGGUUGCUUCAAGGGACAGUGUUUUCCUCAUCAUAAGAAGG
rnacentral:lncRNA from 10 species